UCUUUCAUCUUCUCAGAACUCCAUUUGCUUCUUCUGCCAUUUGGAGCUCGGCCUUAGCGCCAUCUUCCUAGGAACAACUGCGCCAUGAGAGCCAAGUGGAAGAAGAAGCGAAUGCGCAGGCUGAAGCGCAAAAGAAGAAAGAUGAGGCAGAGGUCCAAGUAAACCAGCUUGUGCACCCGUCGAGGCCAGAGGAGCAGGAGGAAAUAAGGAAUGCCGUAGGCUGGGACGC